GUCGGGGGAUGCAAGCGUUAUCCGGAAUUAUUGGGCGUAAAGGGUACGUAGGCGGCUGGUCAAGUCUGGGGUCAAAGGCCACAGCUCAACUGUGGGAAGGCCCUGGAAACUGACCGGCUAGAGUGAGGUAGGGGUUGCGGGAAUUCCCGGUGUAGCGGUGAAAUGCGUAGAGAUCGGGAAGAACACCUGAGGCGGAAGCGCGCAACUGGGCCUCAACUGACGCUGAGGUACGAAAGCUAGGGGAGCGAAUGGG
rnacentral:rRNA from 1 species